rnacentral:lncRNA from 1 species
CUCAGUCAGUGCAGCUCUGCCAUUGACCAUGGAAAGGCCCUAUUCCCCAGCACUUAAGGGCAUCUGUUUUUCCUAGCAGCUUCCUAAGAUUUCUUCUUAUGGCACAUGAGGGGAAGAUUCCUAACUUGGAGGAGCAACCGGUUUGGUUUGGCUUUUCUUUAAGGAGCGUCUCCAGCCCACAUUGAUUGCCUGUGGAAUGCUUGUCUCCGUACUGGUGGGCUUCAAGAUAAGAAUCGGUUUUCAGAGUGUCCAAAAUACAGCCGUGCCCUGCAGCAGCACCCUAGCAACACAGCAUGAUAUAAGGCUCUUUGAAUGCUUCAGGGUGAUUCUAGUCCUGCCAGCUGGUCGAGGCAUCUCAGAUGGUUACUACCUUUGGCACCAGGCAACCCUGAGAGAGUCAGAAGAGCCAUCACUCCAGUACCCAAGCAGCAAAUGAGCCUGUGUUCCAGAUUUAAAAAUGCUUUUAAAGGAAAGAAGGGCAAGCCCCUGCAGAGUCAGCAGCAGAACAAAAUCAGAGUGCCCAUACCCCAGCUGCUGUCAUCCAAAGUGCUGGCAUGCUGGAAGUCAGCACUACUUGCACCACAGGACAGAGACAAGGAUGUUAAAUUGACAAAGGAAAAACAGUAUCUUUCAUCUGUCUGGAAUUUAUUAAAGCAUCUACAACAUAACCACAUGGAACAAUGAAGGAACUGACCAGCAGGAAGACAGCAACAGGAAACGUUGGAAGGGGAAGUAUUGGUGGUGAAGCAGGAUGACUACCAGAGCUUCUAAAGUAGAGGUGGGCAAAAUCCAGCUUGCAGGCUGGAUCCGGCCUGCAGAGGGAUUUUUGCCCAGCCCACAAUGCAGUGGCCAGAGACUAUUUCCUGGCAGCCUUAGUAGCAGCAACUCCUAUGACUGCCACUGCUGGACCUGGCCCCACCGAGCACACCGCCUCAUAGAUACUGACUUUUAUUUUUGCCAGGUGGAGGCCUAAGAUGAUGCCACCUUGCACCCUUGUGGCAUGGCUGAAGCAGAGCCAAACGGAGCCUGUGGGGGUUGGAUACAGACUGCGGGCUUGGGGCUUCCCACCCUGCUGCUCUUCCCCUCGGAGCCCCAGGCUGGCCAUGCCACCAUGGUGAGGUGCCCCCUGCCCACCCAACUGCAGUGGGGGGCACAACUCUGCCCCACAGCUUCUGGGUGGGCAAGGGGCGUCUUGCCACGGGAGUGAAAAUGGUGUGGGGCUCCCAGUGGAGGGGAGCAACCUGCAUCUGCCUCUCCCCUAUGCACAAAUCUGUGCCCCCUGCCUCUGCAUGUCCUCUUCCCCGGAGUGUGUGCGGCAGCAGGUAGCCUCCCCACACCCUCUGCCCCUCUUGAUGAGCCACCUGUGGCUCUGUCUUGUUCCCCACCCCAGCCCCAAUCCCCAUGUACCGCCCUGGGUGGGCAGCUCCCCCAGGCUCAGCCCCUCCCACUCUCUCCCUCACCAUGGGGCCCUCAAUCUGCCCCCUCCCAUAGAUUUACCUGCAGGCAGCUGGGGGAACUGAGGCUCUCCACCACUGCCUGGGGCCAUAUUUCUGGCCCCAUGCAGCAUGGAGCCAGGGCACAGGGAAGAGCUGCAAUCUGCUGCCCACACACCCCUAUGACAGGAACUGGUUUUGCAGUCAGAGACAUGCAGGGAACAGAUCGCGCCCCUGACCCCAGCCUCGGGCUGUCACUAUCCCAAAAUCCAAGCCCCGCCCACCCACUCAACCCACCUGAGCAACUUCUAGCUCUCCUCCAUGGCUAUCCACCUUUAGACACACAAGCAGACUGCAGACUUUAGUUCGGGAAUAUUUUAUUACCAUCUCUGCUGCUUUUGUAUCAUACAUUUAAAAAAUAAAUAACUGUAAAUAAGUUAGUAGAGGACUACA